rnacentral:rRNA from 1 species
GACGAACGCUGGCGGCGUGCCUAAUACAUGCAAGUAGACCGAGUUGCGAACGGGUGAGUACUCGUAGGUAACCUGCCCGAUGGAGGGGGAUAACUACUGGAAACGGUAGCUAAUACCGCAUCCCAUCGGAAGUGCCCAGCUGGUAUUAGCUAGUAGUUGGGGUAACGGCUCACCUAGGCGACGAUCCCUAGCUGUUCUGAGAGGAUGACCAGCCACACUGGAAAUGAGACACGGUCCAGACGCCUACGGGAGGCAGCAGUGGGGAAUAUUGCACAAUGGGCGCAAGCCUGAUGCAGCCAUGCUGCGUGUAUGAAGAAGGCCUUCGGGUUGUAAAGAACUUUCAGCGAGGAGGCGUUACUCACAGAAGAAGCACCGGCUAACUCCGUGCCAGCAGCCGCGGUAAUAC